rnacentral:rRNA from 1 species
GUCUAUUUGGAGGUAUAAAAAGUCUGGCCUGCCCUCUGAAAGUUAAAUUGAAGGGCCGCGGUAAUUUGACUGUGCAAAGGUAGCAUAAUAAUUAGGUUUUUAAUUGGAAUCUUGUAUGAAUGGUUUGACAAAAUAAAAUCUGUCUCUACUGUUAUUAUCGAAUUUAACUUUUAAGUGAAAAGGCUUAGAUAAAUUAAAAAGACGAUAAGACCCUAUAAAGCUUUAUAGAUAUUUUUACUUGAUUAAAUUUAUAAUAAAAAUUAAGUUCAUUGUGUUUAUUUUAUUGGGGCGAUAGAAGUAUAAAGAAUUUAUUAACUGCUUAAGUGAUAAUACAAAUAAUAAAUGAUUUUUUUAAUGGAUCCUUUCAUUAAGAUUUGAAGAUUAAGUUACUUUAGGGAUAACAGCGUUAUUUUUCUUAAGAGUUCAUAUCGAAAGAAAAGUUUGCGACCUCGAUGUUGAAUUAAAAUUUCUGAAUAAUUGCAGCAUUUAUUUUAGAAGGUCUGUUCGACCUUUAAUUUUUUACAUGAUUUGAGUUCAGACCGGCGUGAGCCAGGUUGGUUUCUAUCUUUUAAUAAAAAAUGAACUAUUUUAGUACGAAAGGAUUGGGUAGUUGAAAUAAUUUUAAAGUUGUUUA